rnacentral:rRNA from 1 species
CUACGGGGUGCUGCAGUGGGGAAUAUUGGACAAUGGGGGAAACCCUGAUCCAGCAAUGCCGCGUGUGUGAAGAAGGCCUGCGGGUUGUAAAGCACUUUCGGUUGGGAGGACUGCUUCUAGCACUAAUAUUGUUGGAAGUUGACGUUACCUUCAGAAGAAGCACCGGCUAACUCCGUGCCAGCAGCCGCGGGAAUACGGAGGGUGCAAGCGUUAAUCGGAAUUACUGGGCGUAAAGCGCGCGUAGGCGGCUAGAUCAGUCGGGUGUGAAAGCCCCGGGCUUAACCUGGGAACUGCAUCCGAUACUGUCUAGCUUGAGAACAGGAGAGGAGAGUGGAAUUCCACAUGUAGCGGUGAAAUGCGUAGAUAAGUGGAGGAACACCAAUGGCGAAGGCAGCUCUCUGGCCUGAUACUGACGCUGAGGUGCGAAAGCGUGGGGAGCAAACAGGAUUAGAUACCCUCGUAGUC